GAGGGUAUAGCUUAGUAGUGGAGUGCAUGCCUAGUAUGCACGAGCUCCUGGGUUCAGUCCCCAGUACCUCUG
rnacentral:tRNA from 1 species